CUCUGAUGCCGAGCCGAAGCUGGACUGUACUGCUGCGAUCUCGGCUCACUGCAACCUCCCUGCCUGAUUCUCCUGCCUCAGCCUGCCGAGUGCCUGCGAUUGCAGGGGCGCACCGCCACGCCUGACUGGUUUUCGUAUUUUUUUGGUGGAGACGGGGUUUCGCUGUGUUGGCCGGGCUGGUCUCCAGCUCCUAACCGCGAGUGAUCCGCCAGCCUCGGCCUCCCGGAGGUGCCGGGAUUGCAGACGGAGUCUCGUUCACUCAGUGCUCAAUGGUGCCCAGGCUGGAGUGCAGUGGUGUGAUCUCGGCUCGCUACAACCUCCACCUCCCAGCCGCCUGCCUUGGCCUCCCAAAGUGCCGAGAUUGCAGCCUCUGCCCGGCCGCCACCCCGUCUGGGAAGUGAGGAGCGUCUCUGCCCGGCCGCCACCCCGUCUGGGAAGUGAGGAGCGUCUCUGCCUGGC
rnacentral:lncRNA from 1 species